AAGAAAGAAAGAAAGAACGAAAGAAAGAAAGCUGUUCAUGAAGAGUUUUACAUGCCUCUGGAAAGGGGCACAGCUGAAAUGACUCCUUUCUUACGUCCCUGCCACAAACCUAGCCAAGUAUCUAACAUUGCUGAUACUACGUUUGCUGAUACCAAAAGAACUAUCUUGUUCAACCAUUGCAAAAUUGAUUUAUGAAUGGGGCCCAACU